rnacentral:rRNA from 1 species
GAUGAACGCUGGCGGCGCGCCUAACACAUGUAAGUCGAACGAUUAAAGCACCUUCGGGUGUGUAUAAAGUGGCGAACGGCUGAGUAACACGUGGGCAACCUGCCCCUUUCAUUGGGAUAGCCACGGGAAACCGUGGAUAAUACCGAAUACUUCGAGACUUCCGCAUGGAAGACUCGAGAAAGCUCCGGCGGAGGGGGAUGGGCCCGCGGCCUGUUAGCUUGUUGGUGGGGUAACGGCCUACCAAGGCAAUGAUGGGUAGCUGGGUUGAGAGACCGACCAGCCAGAUUGGGACUGAGACACGGCCCAGACUCCUACGGGAGGCAGCAGGGGGGAAUCUUGCACAAUGGGCGAAAGCCUGAUGCAGCGACGCCGCGUGCGGGAUGAAGGCCUUCGGGUUGUAAACCGCUUUCAGCAGGGACGAGGCGAAAGUGACGGUACCUGCAGAAGAAGCCCCGGCUAACUACGU